GACGAACGCUGGCGGCGUGCCUAAUACAUGCAAGUAGGACGCAGUUGCGAACGGGGGAGUAACGCGUAGGGAAAUACCUAUUAGAGGGGGAGAACUAUUGGAAACGAUAGCUAAUACCGCAUACUAGUAGAUGGACCUGCGUUGUAUUAGCUAGUAGGUAGGGUAAUGGACUACCUAGGCAAGGAUACAUAGCCGACCUUGGAGGGUGAGCGGCCCAAUGGGGAACGAGGCACGGCCCAGACACCGUCGGGAGGCAGCCGUAGGGGAACUUCGGGAAUGGGCGGAACCCCGGCCGAGCAACGCCGCGUGAGGGGAGGAGGUUUUCGGGUUGUAAAGCUCUGUUGGUAAGGAAGCGGUACUUAACCAGAAAGCGACGGCUAACUACGUGCCAGCAGCCGCGGUAAUAC
rnacentral:rRNA from 1 species